rnacentral:rRNA from 1 species
UACGUAGGGUGCGAGCGUUGUCCGGAAUUACUGGGCGUAAAGAGCUCGUAGGUGGUUUGUCGCGUUGUUCGUGAAAACUCACAGCUCAACUGUGGGCGUGCGGGCGAUACGGGCAGACUAGAGUACUGCAGGGGAGACUGGAAUUCCUGGUGUAGCGGUGGAAUGCGCAGAUAUCAGGAGGAACACCGGUGGCGAAGGCGGGUCUCUGGGCAGUAACUGACGCUGAGGAGCGAAAGCAUGGGGAGCGAACAGG